rnacentral:pre_miRNA from 1 species
CUAUAAUGUAUGCAUGUUCAGGUGCAGUCUCUUGAUUAAAAUAUAUAUAUAUAUACUAAUCAAGAGACUGCACCUGAAUAUGCAUACAUUAUAGAUA